rnacentral:rRNA from 1 species
AGACCCGAAACCCGGUGAUCUAGCCAUGGGCAGGUUGAAGGUUGGGUAACACUAACUGGAGGACCGAACCGACUAAUGUUGAAAAAUUAGCGGAUGACCUGUGGCUGGGGGUGAAAGGCCAAUCAAACCGGGAGAUAGCUGGUUCUCCCCGAAAGCUAUUUAGGUAGCGCCUCGUGAAUUCAUCUCCGGGGGUAGAGCACUGUUUCGGCUAGGGGGCCAUCCCGGCUUACCAACCCGAUGCAAACUGCGAAUACCGGAGAAUGUUAUCACGGGAGACACACGGCGGGUGCUAACGUCCGUCGUGAAGAGGGAAACAACCCAGACCGCCAGCUAAGGUCCCAAAGUCAUGGUUAAGUGGGAAACGAUGUGGGAAGGCCCAGACAGCCAGGAUGUUGGCUUAGAAGCAGCCAUCAUUUAAAGAAAGCGUAAUAGCUCACUGGUCGAGUCGGCCUGCGCGGAAGAUGUAACGGGGCUAAACCAUGCACCGAAGCUGCGGCAGCGAACGUAUCACUUAAAGCGAUUCAGCGGGUUACGAUUGACGGAGCGAAGCGACGUCAAAGCGUAUACAAAGUCGAGUCGGUUUAAGGAUACGUUCGUUGGGUAGGGGAGCGUUCUGUAAGCCUGCGAAGGUGGCCUGUGAGGGUUGCUGGAGGUAUCAGAAGUGCGAAUGCUGACAUAAGUAACGAUAAAGCGGGUGAAAAGCCCGCUCGCCGGAAGACCAAGGGUUCCUGUCCAACGUUAAUCGGGGCAGGGUGAGUCGACCCCUAAGGCGAGGCCGAAAGGCGUAGUCGAUGGGAAACAGGUUAAUAUUCCUGUACUUGGUGUUACUGCGAAGGGGGGACGGAGAAGGCUAUGUUGGCCGGGCGACGGUUGUCCCGGUUUAAGCGUGUAGGUGUGUGUUCCAGGUAAAUCCGGUUCACUUUAACACUGAGGCGUGAUGACGAGGCACUACGGUGCUGAAGCAACAAAUGCCCUGCUUCCAGGAAAAGCCUCUAAGCAUCAGGUAACAUCAAAUCGUACCCCAAACCGACACAGGUGGUCAGGUAGAGAAUACCAAGGCGCUUGAGAGAACUCGGGUGAAGGAACUAGGCAAAAUGGUGCCGUAACUUCGGGAGAAGGCACGCUGACACGUAGGUGAAGUGAUUUACUCAUGGAGCUGAAGUCAGUCGAAGAUACCAGCUGGCUGCAACUGUUUAUUAAAAACACAGCACUGUGCAAACACGAAAGUGGACGUAUACGGUGUGACGCCUGCCCGGUGCCGGAAGGUUAAUUGAUGGGGUCAGCGCAAGCGAAGCUCCUGAUCGAAGCCCCGGUAAACGGCGGCCGUAACUAUAACGGUCCUAAGGUAGCGAAAUUCCUUGUCGGGUAAGUUCCGACCUGCACGAAUGGCGUAAUGAUGGCCAGGCUGUCUCCACCCGAGACUCAGUGAAAUUGAACUCGCUGUGAAGAUGCAGUGUACCCGCGGCAAGACGGAAAGACCCCGUGAACCUUUACUAUAGCUUGACACUGAACAUUGAGCCUUGAUGUGUAG